AGAUUAAACUGAAGAGUUUGAUCAUGGCUCAGAUUGAACGCUGGCGGCAGGCUUAACACAUGCAAGUCGAGCGGAAACGAUGGGAGCUUGCUCCCAGGCGUCGAGCGGCGGACGGGUGAGUAACGCGUAGGAAUCUACCUAGUAGAGGGGGAUAGCCCGAGGAAACUCGGAUUAAUACCGCAUACGCCCUACGGGGGAAAGCAGGGGAUCUUCGGACCUUGCGCUACUGGAUGAGCCU
rnacentral:rRNA from 1 species